GAUGAAGAACGUAGCGAAAUGCGAUAAGUAGUGUGAAUUGCAGAAUUCCGUGAAUCAUCGAAUCUUUGAACGCACAUUGCGCCUUCUGGUAUUCCGGAAGGCAUGCCUGUUCGAGAGUCAUUAACAACCGUUUCGAUCCCUUUCUUUCAGAAAUUACAAAGAGGAAAAGGGUUUGGUUAUGGUGGAGGAGGGAAAGGGAGCGUUUAGCCUGUAAAAAAAGAGGCUGUGUUCCGCCUCCCCCCCAAAAUUGUACAGGCGGUCGUGUGCGCCCACGCAUCGAGGUGUUGUAAAAGCUGCCACGGCACUUUUCACCUGUGCAGUGCGAGAUUGGCCAGCCGGUUUAAAAACCCCUCCAAACAAUAAAAGGUUGACCUCGGAUCAGGUAGGGAUACCCGCUGAACUUAAGCAUAUCAAUAAGCGGAGGA
rnacentral:misc_RNA from 1 species